rnacentral:lncRNA from 1 species
AUGUCCAAGGUGGGAGAAAUAACUCUUUAUCUGUUGGAGGCAAGUGUGAUUAAUCGCAACAUUGACACUUGCCUCCGACAGACAAGAGUUUUUUCUCCCACCCUGGACAUUCCACAGAUAUAUAAACCUCCCACUAUUUACAAUAAAAAAAACUUUAAAAAAAAGAUAUAUAAACCUUCCUUGUCUAAUUUCCAACAUAUCCCACAGCUUCUGAGGAUGCCUGCCAUAGAUGUGGGCGAAACGUCAGGAGAGAAUGCUUCUGGAACAUGGUCAUAUAGCCCGGAAAACUCACAGCAACGCAAACUUGAAGGCACCUUUCACAAGCAUACCUAUCACAUACACAGACAGAUGUUAGCUCGCACAUUUUAAACAGGUACACAAGCAUACCCACAGGACAACAUGCAUCCUAAAAGAGAACUGCUUACUUAAAACAUUAAAGAAUUGUUUUUACUAUACAGCUCAGAGGGCCAGAUUGAACACCCGCCCCACCACGAACUUCCUAAUAUUUUUCACGUGGAUUCGUUCGUCUGUUCAUAGAUUUUGAGAAUCAACUCAGUUUGGCUCAACACUACCACCACCACCACCAACAACAACAACUUUAUUGUUGUCCUGCCACCAUCUCCCAGAGGGACUCGGGGUGGCUCACAGAAUACUCAAAGUGUGACAUACAAAAUGCAACAAGUGCAAAACAAAACAUAAGACAAUAAACAGACAAACAUCAUAAAUUCACAGUAACCUCUGGUAAAAACAAUAAAAUAUAGCAAUUGCUGUAGGGAUCGUGGGGUUUGCAGUUUGAUGUGGCAUCAGCCCUUUUGUCAGAGAACUCGAAAAACCUUGUAAAACUACAACUCUUGGAAUCCUAUUUCAUUUUUUCCGUGUCAGGAGUGACUUCAUAAACUGCAAGUCGCUUCUUGUGUGACAGAAUUGGCCGUCUGCAAGGACGUUUACCAGGGGACGCCCGGAUGCUUGAUGUUUUACCAUCUUUGUGGUAAAGAUAGGCUGGCUCUACACUAUGAAUUCAUAUACUUUAACCAUGCCUCAAUGCUAUGGAAUCAUGGAGUUUGUAAUUCGGUUUGGCAGAAAAAGUUAAAUGCCUUGUCAAACUACAACUCCCAUGAUUCCAUAGCAUUGAGCUAUAGCAGUUUAAAUGGAGUCAAACUCCAUUAAUUCUGCACUGCAGAUGUGCUUACAGGUUUUUCUGAGGACACUCGAGCCUCGCGUGGGGGGACCUUUCCCAGCCCCUCCCCCAAAGGGGCCACUUGCCACUGGGGCCCCCGAUCUGAGCCAUUAUGUGAAGGAGGAGGGUCCAGGUGCCAACUCCUCCUGCCCUCCUCCCACAGAAAUGUACGGAAGACUC